CAGUUCCGCCGCCGCUGCGCGGGUGGAGGAGGUUCCCGGCUCCGGUGGCUUCUGUUUCUCUUGGAUCCACGCCAUCUCCCAACAUUCGCGGACAUCCGCACCUUCCCGCACUGUCUGCUGUGUUUCCGCCUCUGUUCCGCGCCAUCUCUCACGGCGCCCCGGGAGUGUCACAUGGCUGCUGUUACAUGAGACGUGUCGUCAGGGAGAGCCGGGACUGAGUCCCAGCUGGGUCUGUGUGCACAGAGGCUCCACAGGAGGCGUCAUCUUGGUGUCAGCCAGGCGCUAGGCUCUGGGGCCCCAGGUUGUUGACAUUUCCCAUCCUUGGAGAAGUGGCCUUUUGUAGGAGACGUCCUAUGUAUCUCAGCAGCACACUCCUCUCUCUGGUCACCAGAGCUAUAUGCUCUAGGGGUGCCCACUAUUUGGGCUGCGUGUUGUGGCAGACUGACUGCUGUGGGCAAUCUGGUGUCACAUGAGUGUCCCAAGUUCUCCAGCCUUCAGGAGUCACCCUUUCCUUGAACAUCCACUGAAUAUCAGCUCCCAGAUCUGCAGGAAAUCCAUUCAAGAGCCCAGUACAUGCUGAUGUGUUUCUAUAGAUCCAUCCUGUAGCUGUUGCAUUUUUCUCUGAAUGGCUCCAUUGUGCCAGGCCUCUUUGUGGUCACCUACAGCCAUUUCUUCACCUCUUCUCCCAGUUGCUGUUCUUUCCCUAAGCUAUUUUGCUCUGAACAUCCUCUGAGUGGCCAUGGCUGGCUCCAGGACAGCACAGACUCCAAACUCUGGCCUGAUCUUGUUUCUGCCUCAGAAGCAUGUGGUGCUGUGGCCUCAGAGGCCAUUAAGGCGUCUUCUAGCUCAUCCAGGCAGGCCUGUUCUCAAACGUUCAGCUGGGAGAAUGUGACAAUUUUCUGGAGUUUGAUAAUCUUCCAUCUUUCUUGGUGAUCCAUGGAUGGUCUCACAGCCCAGCUGAGUACUUAUAUUUAAUCCCAGGAGAUUCUGAGAAGGUAUAGGUUUGUAGAGGAGGAAGGAUGGGAGAUGAUGGGGAGGAAGAGAAGAUGCGGGGAAGCCAGAGAAGACAGAAAGAGGAAAACAUAUUACAACUUAACCCAGUUUAACUCAAACUUGAAUGUGCAUCCAAAUCACCUAGAAGGCUUGUUAAAGCACAGAGUGCUGGAUCCCACCUCAGAUUUCUGAUUCAGUAAGUUUGGGGUGGGGACCAAGACUUUGCAUUUCUAACAAAUUCCCAGGUGAUACUGAUGCUGCUGGUCAGGGGACCACACUCUGAAGACCACUGACUUCAUCCCCAAACCAUAUGGGAGGCAGUGCACCCCCUUCAGACACAGUGUUUUGCUUCUCACAAUGGGUAGGCAGAUCUGUUCCUUCUUAAAUAUCCUUGCGGCCAACAGCCAAGUCCAUCUGUUUGUUCACAUAGUAGCAAGAUGUCCAACAAAUCCCUAAAGAAACUAAUGAGCAACUUGGAUCCAACUCUUUAUUGUCUGCCAGAGGAAAGGCAUCCAUGCUUGGUAAUGAGCCUUUGGUCUCUCUGCCAGGCUCUGUGGCCAGAAUUAAGCACUUUGUCAUCUAGCUGGUAAAGGACUUUCUUGACAGUAUUGAACCAGAAAGCCUAACCAAGUCAUUUACUUACAUCCCAUUAUAUUGGGGAAACAGUGGAUGGUCUGCUCUCAGAAACCUGUUUGUUUCCACCUUGGUGGUGUGCAGGACAGGAGAGGGUGUGUGUCCCACAUCAUGCAGAGUCCUGGGACGUGAUGGCCGCUGCUCCCGUUCACACAUUCCACCAGCAUUUUGUAGCCGCCUGCAUAGUCUGACUCUGAACUAAGUCAGAACAGGGCACAAUGACAAAAUACAUCCAGGAUCUGCUUCAAGGCUAGGCCUGUGACACAGCUCCAUGCUGGGUGUAUAGUGAACCCUCACGAAAUGUCAGCCUUGAUUAUUAUGAGUUUGAUUAAGAGCAGAGUGUUCCCAUCACGAUAGAAUUGCUUGAUGUAAUUCACAAUCUCCUUCUGGGAGGAAAUUAGCAUUCUUGAUAAAUGUUUAAGCAAUUUUCUGAUAAACUCUAACAAGAUUAAAACCUCCUUGGAGAAAUCAGCUACCCAAACACUCAGCUGAUUAUCAGACAUUCUUUAUCUUAUAUUCAGUUUAAUAAUGCUUAUCCAACCAUUCUCUUUUCCUGGGAAAUGUCCUUAACAAAAGGGAACUCUGACUUGGCUUUGUGGCAUGAUCAAAAUAAAACUUUGACACAA